GACGAACGCUGGCGGCGUGCUCAACACAUGCAAGUCGAACGGGUCUGCCCUGUUUUUUGCGGGGUGGGUCAGUGGCGAACGGGUGAGUAACACGUGAGUAACCUGCCCCUCACUUCUGGAUAACCGCUUGAAAGGGUGGCUAAUACGGGGUGUUCUGGCUGUGCCGCAUGGUGUGGCUGGGAAAGAUUCACUUUUGUGGUGUUUUGGUGGGGGAUGGGCUCGCGGCCUAUCAGCUUGUUGGUGGGGUGAUGGCCUGCCAAGGCUUUGACGGGUAGCCGGCAUGAGAGGGUGGGCGGUCACACUGGGACUGAGAUACGGCCCAGACUCCUGCGGGAGGCAGCAGUGGGGGGUAUUGCACAAUGGGCGGAAGCCUGAUGCAGCGACGUCGCGUGAGGGAUGGAGGCCUUCGGGUUGUGAACCUCUUUCGCCGGUGAAGAAGGUCCUGCUCUUUGUGGUGGGGUUGACGGUAGCCGGGUUAUGAAGCGCCGGCUAACUACGUG
rnacentral:rRNA from 1 species